CCUUUGAUAGCUCAAGUGGUAGGGUGGAGGACUGUAGGAAAUACAAUACCUAGCUAUCCUUAGGUCACUGGUUCAAUUCCAGCUCGAAGGA
rnacentral:tRNA from 1 species